AUUGAACGCUGGCGGAAUGCAUUACACAUGCAAGUCGAACGGCAGCACGGGGCAACCUGGUGGCGAGUGGCGAACGGGUGAGUAAUACAUCGGAACGUGCCCAAUCGUGGGGGAUAACGUAGCGAAAGUUACGCUAAUACCGCAUACGAUCUACGGAUGAAAGCGGGGGAUCGCAAGACCUCGCGCGAAUGGAGCGGCCGAUGUCAGAUUAGGUAGUUUGUGGGGUAAAGGCUGACCAAGCCGACGAUCUAGAGCUGGUCUGAGAGGACGACCAGCCACACUGGGACGGAGACACGGCCCAGACUCCUACGGGAGGCAGCAGUGGGGAAUUUUGGACAAUGGGCGCAAGCCUGAUCAAGCCAUUCCGCGUGCAGGAUGAAGGCCUUCGGGUUGUAAACUGCUUUUGUACGGAACGAAACGGUUCUCUCUAAUACAGGGGGCUAAUGACGGUACCGUAAGAAUAAGCACCGGCUAACUACGUGCCAGCCGCCGCAGUAAAAC
rnacentral:rRNA from 1 species